GCCCGGAUAGCUCAGUCGGUAGAGCACGAGACUCUUAAUCUCAGGGUUGUGGGUUCGAGCCCUAAGUUGGGCG
rnacentral:tRNA from 1 species